rnacentral:lncRNA from 1 species
AUCAGCACUCCCAUUAAGAAAGCUGCUUUUAUGACAUCACCGGUGAUUAAACCGACCUAAUUUCUCCCAGGCUGGCAGAGUCAAGAGCCUCAUUCAGUACAGAAACCUGCUCUAUGGGCCUCAGCUAAGCCACUUGAGAAAAAAAAAAAAGACCUGUAAUUUGUUCUGGGAGGAAAAGAAAAAUGGUGUGCAGCUGCAGCUUGCCGCACGUGAGACGUGGAGCAGGAGAGACCCAGGCGUUCCACAGCCAGCCCCUCUCUCUGCUGGGGCCUGGGGUUCCGGAAAUGCUUGGUCCUUCGUGCGAUGGAUGCCUGCUGAGCAGAGAGGUGGUUUCUGAGCUCCUGAGGGCUGACGUGGUAUCGUAGUCACCUUAGCAUCUCUAAUCUUUAGUGCCAGACUGGGUAUACGCAGGAUGAUCGUUUUGAAGGACAAAUCUGAUAGGCAUGGGAAGUCCCAGACAAUACGGCUUCUGGCAGACUGACUUGCCUUGCCAAAGCUCACGACCUGGCUUGCGUGGCAAAUAAUGAAAGAGCUUGAACAGGGGAAUUCUUCAUGAUAGCAUGCUGAUUCAUUCUGCAAAGUAGUGCCUGAGCACCUCCUGUGUGCCUGGGGCUGAGGACGGAGUGGUGAACAAGACAGUGAAAACCCCCUCCUCAUGAAGCUUACCUUCCAAUGGCUGUCUUCGCAUUUGUGUUAAAAGGAGAGUGACGUGUUUCCAUUCGUCUGUGAAAACAAGGUGAUGAGUCAAUUUGGUGAAAAAUGAGUAGAAGAUGGUGACCUAGCUCCACUUAGCCAAGUCUUCAACUCAAGAGAAACUGUUACUCAAGGAAUUGGACUUGAAGAGCCUCAUCUGCACAUGGACCUGGUUUAAAUGGUGAGAGUCUGGACUCUGAGCUCAUGCUGUGAUGAGAUGAGAGUUUGGGGGACCUUGAAAGCGGGUGAGUUUAUUUUGUGUGUGAGAGGGCAUGAAUAAUUCAGAAGAUGGACU